rnacentral:rRNA from 1 species
CCUACGGGUGGCAGCAGUGGGGAAUAUUGGACAAUGGGCGAAAGCCUGAUCCAGCCAUGCCGCGUGUGUGAAGAAGGCCUUCGGGUUGUAAAGCACUUUCAGUGGGGAAGAAAGCCUUGGGGCUAAUACCCUCGAGGAAGGACAUCACCAACAGAAGAAGCACCGGCUAACUCCGUGCCAGCAGCCGCGGUAAUACGGAGGGUGCGAGCGUUAAUCGGAAUUACUGGGCGUAAAGCGCGCGUAGGCGGUCUGAUAAGCCGGUUGUGAAAGCCCCGGGCUCAACCUGGGAACGGCAUCCGGAACUGUCAGGCUAGAGUGCAGGAGAGGAAGGUAGAAUUCCCGGUGUAGCGGUGAAAUGCGUAGAGAUCGGGAGGAAUACCAGUGGCGAAGGCGGCCUUCUGGACUGACACUGACGCUGAGGUGCGAAAGCGUGGGUAGCAAACAGGAUUAGAUACCCCGGUAGUC